GGGAGGGGAGCGGCAGCAAAGGGAGUGGACGGGGGAGGAAGGUGAAGCCAUGGAGAUUGGAAGAGAGAGGAGGGACUGCGGGAGAGAGGAGAGGGGGUACGGAGACCAAGAGAUAAAUUGAGAGGAUGGGGAGAGGAUAAGCAUUCGUGCAUGCAUGAAUGUUAUCAAAUCCGGUGAGUAACAAAUUUCAGGUUUGGACCUCUGGUUGUACUGCUGGUUCAAGAUUGGAAUCGG
rnacentral:lncRNA from 1 species